rnacentral:lncRNA from 1 species
CAGCCUCGGAGGUCCGAUCCCGAAGGGAAUCGGAAACCUCACGGAGCUUAUCAACUUGGAGUUAUCCCAAAACAAUAUGGUCGGAGAAAUCCCAUCCGAGAUUACAAAGCUCAACAAGCUCUGGCAGCUCGAGCUCUACGACAACAAGCUCACCGGGAGGCUUCCUUCCGGCCUAGGAAACCUCACCAACCUCGAAAACUUCGACGCCUCCGCGAAUCGACUCGAAGGCGAUUUGUCGGAGCUGAGAUUUUUGGAGAACUCAGUUACCCUCCAAUUCUACGAGAACAAUUUCACCGGAGAAAUACCUGCCGAG